rnacentral:rRNA from 1 species
GGUUAAGCGACUAAGCGUACACGGUGGAUGCCCUGGCAGUCAGAGGCGAUGAAGGGCGUGCUAAUCUGCGAUAAGCGCCGGUAAGGUGAUAUGAACCGUUAUAACCGGCGAUACCCGAAUGGGGAAACCCAGUGUGAUUCGUCACACUAUCAUUAACUGAAUCCAUAGGUUAAUGAGGCGAACCGGGGGAACUGAAACAUCUAAGUACCCCGAGGAAAAGAAAUCAACCGAGAUUCCCCCAGUAGCGGCGAGCGAACGGGGAGGAGCCCAGAGCCUGAAUCAGCAUGUGUGUUAGUGGAAGCGUCUGGAAAGGCGCGCGAUACAGGGUGACAGCCCCGUACACAAAAGCGCAUGUGCUGUGAGCUCGAUGAGUAGGGCGGGACACGUGGUAUCCUGUCUGAAUAUGGGGGGACCAUCCUCCAAGGCUAAAUACUCCUGACUGACCGAUAGUGAACCAGUACCGUGAGGGAAAGGCGAAAAGAACCC